rnacentral:rRNA from 1 species
UGCAAGACGAACGGUAAGUUGAGUAGCAAUACUUGACCAAGAGUGUCGUAAGGGUGCGUAACACGUAUGCAAUCUGCCCUCAACAGGAGGAUAGCUCCCCGAAAGGGGAAUUAAUACUGCGUAAGAUUGUAGUUCGGCAUCGGACAGCAAUUAAAACCGAGGUGGUUGAGGAUGAGCAUGCGCAUGAUUAGUUAGUUGGCGGGGUAACGGCCCACCAAGACGAUGAUCAUUAGGGGAACUGAGAGGUUGAUCCCCCACACUGGCACUGAGAUACGGGCCAGACUCCUACGGGAGGCAGCAGUAGGGAAUAUUGGACAAUGGGUGCGAGCCUGAUCCAGCCAUGCCGCGUGCAGGAAGACGGCCUUCUGGGUUGUAAACUGCUUUUGCCAGGGGAUAAAAAGUCCCUGCGGGGAAAAUUGAAGGUACCUGGUGAAUAAGCCACGGCUAACUACGUGCCAGCAGCCGCGGUAAUACGUAGGUGGCAAGCGUUGUCCGGAUUUAUUGGGUUUAAAGGGUGCGUAGGUUGUGUUGUAAGUCAGUGGUGAAAUCCGGCAGCUUAACUGUCGAUGUGCCAUUGAUACUGCAGCACUUGAGUACAGACGAGGUAGGCGGAAUUGACGGUGUAGCGGUGAAAUGCUUAGAUAUCGUCAAGAACACCGAUAGCGAAGGCAGCUUACUAGACUGUAACUGACACUGAUGCACGAAAGUGUGGGGAUCAAACAGGAUUAGAUACCCUGGUAGUCCACACUGUAAACGAUGAUUUACUCGAUGUUGGCGAUACACGGCCAGCGUCUUAACCGAAAGCGAUAAGUAAUCCACCUGGGGGAG